GGUGUGAGCCUAUCUUCACUAUUUGCUAGGGAUUCUCUUUCCUCAGUGGAAUCUCCAAGAGGUCCUCAAACGGCUGGGCUCAUUCCUCGAACAAAUCAUCUCGAGCAUCCAACCCAAUAGAAAGUUUAGGUUGGACCUCUGCCUAGGAUGGCUGGCUUUCUGCUUGAAGUUUGACAGCAAAAUACUAUCGAGCCAUGGUCA
rnacentral:lncRNA from 1 species